AGACUUAGCUGGCAGGGGAAUGCAUGAUCACAAAGGUGGUUUUCCCAAGGCAAGGAUUAUCCUUUGCACCCUGAACAUGCUGAUUCCUGUGAUUUCUCCAAAUGUGGGAAACUCAACUGCAUAAAUUGUGAUAGUGGAGGAAUGUGUUCACACUCUCUCCUG